rnacentral:misc_RNA from 1 species
UGGGGACUUGGACCUGCAUCCAUGGAAUUAUGAAUAGAUCGUUACAGGCUACAAGCUAUAAAAUAGCCUGGUUUGACUGUAUAAAACCCACUCCUCUCAUGAUGCUACACCCAUCUAUCUUCUUGCGGGAACAUGGAGAUUGGAAUAGAGCGGAUAUGAGCUACCUCAUGCUUUUGGAAAUUUUGGUUCAACUUGUGUAGAUUCCAGGUUCGGGAAUUAACAUCCAUGAGAUGAGACACCCAAACUACUGAAGGAUCAUUGUCUGUCUUGAUAUCAGGCUUAUGAGGAAACGAUUUCGAAAUCCACCUAUCUUUUUUGCAAAGAACUGAUUCCCCAUUCCCAAUAUGCCACCUGCUCCCUUUCUCAAUGAUAUUUCUUACCCAUAGCAA